rnacentral:rRNA from 1 species
AUUGAACGCUGGCGGCAGGCCUAACACAUGCAAGUCGAGCGAGGGGCGGACGGGUGAGUAAUGUAUGGGGACUGCCCGAUAGAGGGGGAUAACUACUGGAAACGGUAGCUAAUACCGCAUACUAUCGGAUCGCCGAAAUGGGAUUAGCUAGUAGGUGGGGUAACGGCUCACCUAGGCGACGAUCCGUAGCUGGGCUGAGAGGAUGAUCAGCCAGCCUGGGACUGAGACACGGCCCAGACUCCUACGGAGGCAGCAGUGGGGAAUAUUGCACAAUGGGCGCAAGCCUGAUGCAGCCAUGCCGCGUGUAUGAAGAAGGCCUUAGGGUUUGAAAGUACUUUCAGUCGGGAGGCGUUACUGACAGAAGAAGCACCGGCUAACUCCGUGCCAGCAGCCGCGGUAAUUC